CCUACGGGGGGCAGCAGUCGGGAAUAUUGCGCAAUGGAGGAAACUCUGACGCAGUGACGCCGCGUGAGGGAAGACGGUCUUCGGAUUGUAAACCUCUUUCAGCAGGGAAGACAAAAGGACGGUACCUGCAGAAGAAGCCACGGCUAACUACGUGCCAGCAGCCGCGGUAAUACGUAGGUGGCAAGCGUUAUCCGGAAUUACUGGGUGUAAAGGGUGUGUAGGCGGGGCUGCAAGUCAGGUGUGAAAAUUAUGGGCUCAACCCACAAACUGC
rnacentral:rRNA from 1 species